UAGCUUUAGACAUAGCAUUUGCUCUGGAUUAUCUUCACAACCGUUGUGCAACUCCACUCGUACAUUGCGACUUGAAGCCAAGCAACAUUCUUUUAGGCCCUGACAUGGUUGCAUAUGUCAGUGAUUUCGGUCUAGCAAGAUUCAUAUGCACAAGAUCAAAUUCAGAUCAAGAUAGUUUAACAAGUUUGUAUUGCCUAAAAGGAUCAAUCGGAUACAUCCCACCAGGUGAGAUAGCUUUUUUAAAAUAAAGUUGUUCUUUUUUUGUUUUUCUUAGACCCAUGCAAAACAAUUUGCUGUGCCUAUUAUCUAAUUUUAUACUUAUUUUUAAUUUAACUGCAGAGUAUGGCAUGAGCGAAGAGAGAUCAACAAAGGGUGACGUCUAUAGUUUUGGAGUGCUUCUUCUGGAAAUGGUCACAAAUAUUAGUCCGACAGAAGAAAUAUUUAAUGACGGUACAAGCCUGCGUGAUCUUGUCGCUAGUAACUUUCCCAAAGAUACAUUCAAGGUUGUUGAUCCCACCAUGCUACAAGAUGAGAUCGAUGCAACUGAGGUGCUGCAGAGUUGCGUUAUUCUGUUGGUCAGAAUAGGACUCUCUUGCUCCAUGACUUCACCCAAACACCGAUGCGAAAUGGGACAAGUUUGUACUGAGAUCCUUGGAAUCAAGCAUGCGUUAUCAAAGAUAGAUGGUGAAUGAAGAGAAGAGAAACAUUUGCAUUGUUGGCGCGAGCACCAGUCCCUGCUACAACAGCUGUGAGCGCAAGGGGAAAGGUGACUCAGGAGCGAGCACAGCCUAGGAUGACGGCUAUACUAGAAGAAGGAAGAGAUUUGCCAGGAUUGUAGCUAGCAACAGAGAUGGAUGUAAAGAAGAAUACCAAUGUACCAUCUUAUGUUUUCCCCCUUUUUUCAGUCCAUUUCCGUUUGUGACAUUUGCAGAAGGAAGCAUUCAUUUGGGCAUUAGCAUGUCUCAUGUGCUGUGUACAUCCAAGUGGAUGUAGAGGCCGGGUUAUUUAAUCUAUUAUCUUAAAGAUUAGCAAUGUCUCAUUUUUCUUUAAUUAUCGUGAGUGGGAUAUUCCUAAAAGAACAAUUCCAAGCGGUUAGAGCGCAAUCCAUCUAUGCAAUUGGUAUCCAGACAAAGCUAAUUAAUCAGAUGUCUACAGAAUCUGGAUUUGGGGACUAAACCUCGAAUCCAGACAUGAAAUUCGCUUAAUCGGAAGAGGCUGCGACAGCGGAACCCUACAUGGAUCGAUCUCGCCACACGUCCGGAUGGAUUGACAGGCAUACGUGGGGUUGCGCGUACCUGCUACUCUCGGAGUUCGAGCUGCCACCGAGCGCCGGCGUUCCUGCGGAGGGAGCCCGGUCCGCCGGCGUGGGGUCGUCUCUGUCUCUCGGCUUGGCUCUAUCUGGGCUUGAUUAAAUCAGGGGCUAUCAUCCAGUCAAAUAAUGGAAAGAAGUCCACCUUCUCGACUGCUUCCUCAGUUCCC
rnacentral:lncRNA from 1 species